rnacentral:rRNA from 1 species
UACGAAGGGUGCAAGCGUUACUCGGAAUUACUGGGCGUAAAGCGUGCGUAGGUGGUUUGUUAAGUCUGAUGUGAAAGCCCUGGGCUCAACCUGGGAAUUGCAUUGGAUACUGGCAGGCUAGAGUGCGGUAGAGGAUGGCGGAAUUCCCGGUGUAGCAGUGAAAUGCGUAGAGAUCGGGAGGAACAUCUGUGGCGAAGGCAGCUCUCUGGGACGGUACUGACGCUGAGACGCGAAAGCGUGGGGAGCGAACAGG